ACGAACGCUGGCGGCGUGCUUAACACAUGCAAGUGGAGCGACGAACCAGGGCUUGCCCUGGGGCAAAGCCGCGAACGGGUGAGUAACACGUGGGUAACCUGCCCCGAAGACCGGGACAACCCGAGGAAACUCGGGCUAAUACCGGAUGUGAUCGCUCUUCACAGGAAGAACGAACAAAGGGAGCUUCGGCCCCCGCUUCGGGAUGGGCCCGCGGCCCAUUAGCUUGUUGGUGAGGUAACGGCUCACCAAGGCUUCGAUGGGUAGCUGGUCUGAGAGGACGAUCAGCCACACUGGGACUGAGACACGGCCCAGACUCCUACGGGAGGCAGCAGUGGGGAAUCUUGCGCAAUGGGCGACAGCCUGACGCAGCAACGCCGCGUGAGGGAAGAAGGCUUUCGGGUCGUAAACCUCUUUCAGGAGGGACGAAGCUUCGGGGGUGAAUAGCUCUCCGGAGUGACGGUACCUCCACAAGAAGCCCCGGCUAACUACGUGCCAGCAGCCGCGGUAAUACGUAGGGGGCUAGCGUUGUCCGGAAUCAUUGGGCGUAAAGAGCGCGUAGGCGGCCAGAUAAGUCCGGUGUGAAAGUCACAGGCUCAACCUGUGAAUGCCGCUGGAAACUGUCUGGCUAGAGUCCGGGAGGGGCGAGUGGAAUUCCUGGUGUAGCGGUGAAAUGCGCAGAUAUCAGGAGGAACACCAAUGGCGAAGGCAGCUCGCUGGAACGGUACUGACGCUGAGGCGCGAAAGCGUGGGGAGCGAACAGGAUUAGAUACCCUGGUAGUCCACGCUGUAAACGAUGGGCACUAGGUGUGGGAGGUGUCGACUCCUCCCGUGCCGUAGCUAACGCAUUAAGUGCCCCGCCUGGGGAGUACGGCCGCAAGGCUAAAACUCAAGGGAAUUGACGGGGACCCGCACAAGCAGCGGAGCAUGUGGUUCAAUUCGACGCAACGCGAAGAACCUUACCUGGGCUUGACAUGUUGGUGACAGCCGUGGAAACACGGUCUCCCUUCGGGGCACCUUCACAGGUGGUGCAUGGCUGUCGUCAGCUCGUGCCGUGAGGUGUUGGGUUAAGUCCCGCAACGAGCGCAACCCUUAUCAAUAGUUGCCAGCGGUUCGGCCGGGCACUCUAUUGAGACUGCCGUUGACAAAACGGAGGAAGGUGGGGAUGACGUCAAGUCCUCAUGGCCUUUAUGUCCAGGGCUACACACGUGCUACAAUGGCGAGUACAAAGCGCUGCAAAAGAGCAAUCUGGAGCCAAUCGCAAAAAGCUCGUCUCAGUUCGGAUUGGAGUCUGCAACUCGACUCCAUGAAGCGGGAAUCGCUAGUAAUCGCAGAUCAGCAUGCUGCGGUGAAUACGUUCCCGGG
rnacentral:rRNA from 1 species